AGGGAGGCGUAGGCGGCUGAUUAAGUCAGCGGUGAAAGGUAGCAGCUUAACUGUUUUACAUGCCGUUGAUACUGGUUAGCUUGAGUUGACAGAAGGCAGAUAGAAUUCCUGGUGUAGCGGUGAAAUGCUUAGAUACCAGGAGGAAUACCGAUUGCGAAGGCAGUCUGCUGCAGUCACACUGACGCUGAGGCUCGAAGGUGCGGGGAUCAAACAGGAUUAGAUACCCGUGU
rnacentral:rRNA from 1 species